UGUUGUGUUCACAUAAAACAUAUUUGCAUCUUCAAAGUGGUAGACAUGUUGGUGUAAAUCCAAUUAUACAACCCCCCCCCCCCCCAUUUUUUUUUUUUUUUGUAUUCCAGGUUGACAAAGGCACAAAAAGGAAGAAAUGCCAAGGGGGGUGAAUACUUUCGCAAGCCAUUGUACGCUAACCCUGUUAAUCGGUCAGCAGAUCAGAUUUGUGGCAUACAGCCCGGGUCACACAGUGAUGUCAGAGCAACCACAUCAGCUACAGUCAGAGAGAUGGAGAGGUAAAGGAGAGUGGUACAGCAAGGAGCAGGACAUAAGGAGAAGAGGAGGUAGAUCGAUAGGGAGAGAUUUUAAUAGAAGUCAGGGAGAAGAAGGGAAGACGUAAGGAGUCAGUGGAGAGGUAAAGUGAUUGAGAGGAGCCUGAGGAUCUGUGGUGCCUGUCCCGUAACACACAAUGUCUGGGCAAGACGUGAGUAACUACCAGUUGCCACUGGGUGUUGCCUAUUGUGUUGUUUUUCCAUUGUGAUGUCAUUGUAGCCAAAUGUGCUAGCCUGUGAUGUGAGCUCUGUGUGUCAUUGUUCUAGCCUUUGUCCAUCCCUUGUUUUAGCCUUUAGUCUGGCUAACAACAAGGCUCACUGUUGUGUGUGUGUGGGCAUGUCGGUUUAAGUGCUCAAUGGUGCAUUAUACUAUGAAUGUUAUGUCGCUACCAACCAAAUUCAUUUCCCACCAUGUGAUAAAAAGGCUUUAUUGACUUGUUAGGACUUGGGAUUGUUCAAACGGGCUGUAUGGUUUCCACAGAACAGAAUCACAAAGAGAAAAGUACAUAGCGAGAGUGUGUGUAAUCGCUCAGUAGGUAGAGAUUCUGCUCAGUUUUCACUGGCUCUCACUGUCUGACAUUUAUAACAGGGUUGCUUUGAUGUUUGAUGUACUCUCUCUCUCUCUCUCUCUCUUUUUGUCUUGUCCCUUUGUCUUCUCCAUCCUCAAUUCUCUCCCUCUCACAUUCUCUCUUUAGGCAGUUUGGUAGAGCUUCACCCUUCUGUGUCUCCAGAGACUACAUGUCCCGUCAGCCCCGUAGCAGGUUGUCCAGACGAACCCUCCUACAGUAACCCUGAAGGGAAGACGCACACCUCCACCACAGAACCUACAGGACCUACCUCCACCACAGAACCUCCCACCUCCACCACAGACCCUAGCACUGCCCUCCUAGCCUCCCUAGAGGAGCUAGGGGAACGUAAAGAUCACUCCCACCUUCCUCAGUCCCUCCAUCAGAUAGCUGAGGCCUUUGUCCUCCAGGAAGAUUGUAUCCUUAUCACUUGUGUGUGUGCUUGUUUGACCGUGUGUGAGAGCGUAUGUGUGUGUCUGUAUGACGUGUGUGUUAUGCCCUUUAGGUCUAUGAAAAGUGUAUCCUUAUCAGUCAGCUCAUAUCUCUGUCUCUCUCUAGUAAAUGACAGGGUUCUCUGGUUCAUUCCAACUCUCAGGCUGUGCUGUGUUCCAGUUUAAACCUACCACAGGGUUCAAGCAUCUUAUCGUUGUGCUCUUUCUUUUGGUCAGACAGGAACACUAGAUGUUUUCUGUGCAGGGGCUUUCUACAGCAAAGCUGUGGGCUUAUACAGAGCGCCUCAGUGCCUAGAGAGACAGAGAGAGAGAGAGACCAGUCCUGUGUAAUAUAUGGAGCUCUCAGUACACUGCUCUAUGUAGGACAGAUUUAGAACCAACUGGAGACACGAUGGACCACAGGGAAAAGCCCAGUAGACAUACAUAGUUAUGUUCCUAUCACCCAUACAAAGCUAUUGGUUCAGAAGGAGAGAAAGAAAAUAUGUUUACAAGUUUGGAAUCCGUACCCUUCCUCGACACGCAGCCCAUGGAGUGUAGUGCAACUGGGGAACGCACUCAUUCAAGCACACACACAGCUAUGAUCCCUUAUUGAUGUCAGUGUAGAUGAAGGGGAGGAAACAGGUUAAAGAAAGAUGUUUAAGCCUUGAGACAGGUGUUGUGUGUGUGAGCCAUUCAAAGGGUGAACCAGCAGGACAAAAUAUUUACGUGUCUUUGAACAGGGUAUGGUAGUUGGUGCCAGGAGCACCAGUUUGUGUCAAGAACUGCAACGCUGCUGGGUUUUUCAUGUUCAACAGUUUCCCAUGUCUAUCAAGAAUGGUCCACCACCCAAAGGACAUCCAGCCAACUUGACACAACUGUGGAAAGCAUUGGAGUCAACAUGGGCCAACAUCCCUGUAUUCCUAAUGUUUAGUACACUCAGUAUAUCUACCAUUUUAAGGUGAUUCAUUGUCGUUAGCCUCCUAUCUUGAUAUCUCUUAGUGCUUGGUGAGUGCUGUGUUUGUUGCUGCUAAUCUCUUUAUAUUCUGUGGGGUCAUUCUCUAUCUACUCUCUCUCUCUCUCUCCUGAAAACCCCACCCUCCCUCUAGCUUUCCAUCUCUUUAGCUCGGCAAACUCUUUUUCCUCACCUUAAUUCUAAGUGUGCACUCGUUCCCUCCCCUUCAUGGAUUUAAAAGCCUUGUAGAGGUCCCCUGUCUAGUGUUUAAAAGCCUUGUCUGGUUUGUGUGGUUGACUCAAGUGGUUUGUUUGUCUCAUUGUUAUUUUGUAGGUCCCCUCCACCCUCACACAAGAUACACCUACUCUUCAUUCACUCAUCUUCUCAUUUGUAUUACAAAACAAUGACUGAAUUAUGUAGGCAGAUUAGUCAUAUUGUGUGUGUGUGUUUCCUUAACCCUGUGUUGACCAGAUGAGCGAGCAGUGUGCUGUGNCACUUUGAGAUAUCAGCUGAUGUACGAAGGGCUAUAUAAAUAAAUUUGAUUUGAUUUGAUUUGACCAUAAUUUUCACUUGUCUGACUGCUUGCAUCAUGACGAGUUUCUCACACAACUGGCCUGUCUGGGUGAUGUUUUUUCGUGCCUGAAUGAUCUGAAUCUAGGAUUACAGGGACUCUCCGCAACUAUAUUCAAUGUGCGGGACAAAAUUGAGGCUUUGAUUAAGAAGUUGGAGCUCUUUUCUGUCUGCAUUAACAAGGACAACACACAGGUCUUUCAUUGUAUGAGUUUUUGAACUCAAGUCUACGGACAGUGUCAAAUGUGAUAUAGCCUCCAGUCCACUUACCGAUAUCUGAACACGAGAGCCUAAUUGAAAUUGCAACAAGCGGUUCUGUGAAAAUUGAAUUUAAUCAGAAGCCACUGACAGAUUUCUGCAUAGGGCUGCACUCGGCUGCCUUGGCAAAUCGCGCUGUUAAGACACUGAUGCCCUUUGCAACCACGUACCUACUGUAUGUGAGAGUGGAUUCUUGGCCCUCACUAGCAUGAAACCUAAAUACAGUUACAGUCUGUUUGUGGAAAAUGAUUUAAGACUGAGACUCUCUCCAAUACAACCCAACAUUGCAGAGUUAUGUGCAUCCUUUCAAGCCACCCUUCCUCAUUAACCUGUGGUGAGUUAUUCACAAUUUUCGAUGAACAAAUAAGGAUUAAUAUGUAAGAUGGCUAAAUAAAGAACAAAAUUAUUGAUGAUUAUUAUAUUAUUAUUCGUGCCCUGGUCCUAUAAGAGCUCUUUGUCACUUCCUACGAGCCGGAUUGUGACAAAAACUCACACUCAUUCUCAUGUUUAAUAAAUGUAUCGUAUAGUGUGUGUGUGUGGCAGGCUUACAAUGAUGUCAAAAAACAACAUUUG
rnacentral:lncRNA from 1 species